rnacentral:rRNA from 1 species
CCUACGGGAGGCAGCAGUGAGGAAUAUUGGUCAAUGGACGAGAGUCUGAACCAGCCAAGUAGCGUGAAGGAUGACUGCCCUAUGGGUUGUAAACUUCUUUUAUAUGGGAAUAAAACGUUCCACGUGUGGGAUUUUGUAUGUACAAUAUGAAUAAGGAUCGGCUAACUCCGUGCCAGCAGCCGCGGUAAUACGGAGGAUCCGAGCGUUAUCCGGAUUUAUUGGGUUUAAAGGGAGCGUAGGUGGAUUGGUAAGUCAGUUGUGAAAGUUUGCGGCUCAACCGUAAAAUUGCAGUUGAAACUGGCAGUCUUGAGUACAGUAGAGGUGGGCGGAAUUCGUGGUGUAGCGGUGAAAUGCUUAGAUAUCACGAAGAACUCCGAUUGCGAAGGCAGUUCACUGGACUGCAACUGACACUGAGGCUCGAAAGUGUGGGUAUCAAACAGGAUUAGAUACCCUUGUAGUC